GUGACUCAGCAGCCGCCACGCCGGGAUGGGCGCCGGGCGCGCGGCUUCCGGGCGCGGGGGUGGGUCUCACUCUGCCGCCCCCGCUGGGAAGCGCCGAGGGGCGCGUUGGCGGGUAGAUCCCGCGCCGCCCGCCCGCCCGCCGCUCGCCAGGCCGCCCACGCAGCCGCGAGCCCGGCUCGUUGGGUCCGCCCCCGCGGAGCCCAUGGGAUGCGCCGCCCGCGGAAGGGCUUCCCCAGGCUCCCGGCGAGUCGGGGGGAGGAGGGGGCUGCAUUCUUUGCGCUCCCCUCCAGCUGUUGACGCGCCAAUGUCCAGAGGGGGCCCCGUGGAAAUUCCUGGGGGGCUGGAGCGGGAAGCCCCCGCAGAAUUCACCCCGCCCUCCCCGACCUGCGGGGCCUGGCCGCCCUACACCCGGCCCCAGGGUCUGUCUCCUUUGUUUUCUCGAAAUGGAGAGUGGAUUCUGAGCUCCCUUCCUAAGGCUCUUACCAUUUGGAAGUCACUUUGCCCAUCUAAGGAGAAUUUGCAUUUUAACAAGGGGGAUAACCUUGAAGUACCCAAAGGAAUCUCUACGUGUAGAAUUGCUGGCAUAGGCGAGAUAUUCUGGAAGGCAGCGAGACCCCCGUGGAAUGCCUGAAGCCCCCAUAACUCGCGAUAAGGAAAGAAAACCAUUAAACUGAAGGAAGGGCAAAUGGGCCAUUGAGGAAGGUAGGAAGGAAAACCACAUCUUCUUGGGACUUGCAUCAAAUGCUACGAGAUCAUCCUGGAUCUUCUGCCUAAGGACCCGAAGUUCUGGUCAAAUCUACCCUGUGUCCUGACCCAACUUGUCUAAAUCUGCAGUAGAUGCGAGGAGAAAAUGAGUCUACAUCAAGUCUUCACAAGUAGCCUUAGACUAAAGCACGCCAAGGCUGCUGAAGAUGAUUCUUGGCUCUCCACCCUUCCCACCCCCUCUCCCAACUCCCUUAGCAUCCCCAUCGUCAGGGGCAGGCGCUGACUAGGUUCUGAUUUCCCGUGAGGUGUUCUUCUAUCACCUGUCUAAUGAGAGAAAGGAAGCUGACUUGGUCACAGCCUUCCCAAUACAGAGGAGAGAAUAUUCCAAUCCUCUUUCAUCUCUUCUCCCCAUAUCUCUAGUUCAUGGACAUUGGGCAUAAAGAAAGAGCUUGAAGUCCUAGAGUUUCUCAUCAGGGGCUAAUGAGCAUAUUUCUCUCUGGACCUAACAUGGGAUUCCAGUCAUCACCAAAUAACCAAGGGGAAGCAAGGUUUGCAGUCACCAGCCACAACAGAGAUUUAAACAGGAAUUCCACCCAAAUACCAUCUCCGCAAGCCAACUGUCUCUCUCAUCAUUAUCCCCUUUCCACGAUUGCUAACACCCAGCACAGAAAUCCUCCUUGAGUCAGAGGAGAAAGCUGUAACCAGACUGAAUCCUGACACUAUAAAGGGACCGUCUAUGGGCCUGGUGGGUUGUUACCUUGCACCCCUCUGGGUCUGUGGGCAUUCAGAAGAAAGGUGCCCACUCAGGUCAGAGCAGAGUAAGCGUGUCCAAAUGAGCCACUGCUGGCUUGGACUCCCACUGCAUCACUUAAAGAGCCACCUCGUUCCUCUGGGAAACGCUUUCUCCCACCCUUCCUCUUCCUCUGUCUCCAGCCCCCCGCCUUCUCACAUCAUCGUGCCUCUCAGCCUUGUGCUCUGCCUUCUGAAUCCCCUCAGACCCCAGGUCUACUGUUCCUGGACCCUGCCCUUUUCAAAGCUCUCAACACGUCUCUUUGCCAAGCCUCUGGCUUUUUCAUAGCUCACUCUCCAUUCGAAUAAUUUUACUACCCAAACUCCCAUCCAGAUUUUUCCUAACUUGAAAAGAUUCUUCAACUGUUCUCUUUUCUUCAGUUUAAUCUGCCCCCCAGUCUUGUCCCCUUUAAAAUCUGCCAGUUUCCAAUAACCCUCAUUUCUUUCCUCCUCUGCCCCCAGUGAUGGUUGGGAUACUCCCGUUUGCUCCAACACCUCCCAAGCCCUCUCAGACACUGAUAUCAUUCCCUCCUUUCCCCCAAGCCUCCUUGACACACUUCUCCCCGCAAGCACACUGAAGGCCCUAGUCCUUCAGUCUCGGGUGCACCCCACUUCCCCCUUGUCCCCUCCUCACGCCCGUUUGCUGCCCUUCCUCCCGGCACGUUGGUCCCCGUGCCGCCUUCCCCACUCACUCGGGUCUCCUG